rnacentral:rRNA from 1 species
UUGAACGCUGGCGGCAUGCUUUACACAUGCAAGUCGAGCGGCAGCGCGGGGGCAACCCUGGCGGCGAGCGGCGAACGGGUGAGUAACAUAUCGGAACGUACCCAGUAGUGGGGGAUAACUAACCGAAAGGAUAGCUAAUACCGCAUACGCCCUGAGGGGGAAAGUGGGGGAUCGCAAGACCUCACGUUAUUGGAGCGGCCGAUAUCGGAUUAGCUAGUUGGUGGGGUAAAGGCUCACCAAGGCGACGAUCCGUAGCGGGUCUGAGAGGAUGAUCCGCCACACUGGGACUGAGACACGGCCCAGACUCCUACGGGAGGCAGCAGUGGGGAAUUUUGGACAAUGGGCGAAAGCCUGAUCCAGCCAUGCCGCGUGAGUGAAGAAGGCCUUCGGGUUGUAAAGCUCUUUCAGCCGGAAAGAAAUCGCGCAGGCUAAUACUCUGCGUGGAUGACGGUACCGGAAGAAGAAGCACCGGCUAACUACGU